rnacentral:sRNA from 1 species
AAAAUACUGUUGUCUUUCUUUGAGAUCUGAGCAUGGAAGGGAAUUUUAAACAUUUAAAUUAAACUAGUAUGGACUUCCAAGCAUGAAAUAUUUAAACCCAUCUUAUAUUUAAUAUGUGUAAGUUACAUGUUGAUUGCUAAAACAUUGCUAUUUACAACAGCAUGACUGAGCUGGACAAAGAAAUAAGUACCUUGAGAAGUGGCUUGAAAGCAGUAGAGACAGAGCUGGAAUAUCAGAAGUCUCAGCCCCCACAUCCCGGAGAUAAGUUUGUGUCUGUUGUCAGCCAGUUCAUCACAGUAGCCAGCUUCAGCUUCUCUGAUGUUGAAGACCUUCUAGCAGAAGCUAAAGACCUGUUUACUAAAGCAGUGAAGCACUUUGGGGAAGAGGCUGGCAAAAUACAACCAGAUGAGUUCUUUGGCAUUUUUGAUCAAUUUCUUCAAGCUGUGUCAGAAGCCAAACAAGAAAACGAAAAUA